GGGGAAUUUUGGACAAUGGGGGCAACCCUGAUCCAGCCAUGCCGCGUGAGUGAAGAAGGCCUUCGGGUUGUAAAGCUCUUUCGGACGGAAAGAAAACGGAUGGGUUAAUACCCUGUUCGGAUGACGGUACCGUCAUAAGAAGCACCGGCUAACUACGUGCCAGCAGCCGCGGUAAUACGUAGGGUGCGAGCGUUAAUCGGAAUUACUGGGCGUAAAGCGUGCGCAGGCGGUUGAUUAAGACAGGCGUGAAAUCCCCGGGCUUAACCUGGGAAAGGCGCUUGGGAAUGGUAGGGUAGAGUACGGCAGAGGGGGGUUGAAUUCCACGUGGAGCAGUGAAAUGCGUAGAGAUGUGGAGGAACACCGAUGGCGAAGGCAGCCCCCUGGGGCGAUACUGACGCUCAUGCACGAAAGCGUGGGGAGCAAACA
rnacentral:rRNA from 1 species